rnacentral:rRNA from 1 species
GGGGAGCGGCAGACGGGUGAGUAACGCGUGGGAAUCUACCCUUUUCUACGGAAUAACGCAGGGAAACUUGUGCUAAUACCGUAUGUGUCCUUCGGGAGAAAGAUUUAUCGGGAAAGGAUGAGCCCGCGUUGGAUUAGCUAGUUGGUGGGGUAAAGGCCUACCAAGGCGACGAUCCAUAGCUGGUCUGAGAGGAUGAUCAGCCACAUUGGGACUGAGACACGGCCCAAACUCCUACGGGAGGCAGCAGUGGGGAAUAUUGGACAAUGGGCGCAAGCCUGAUCCAGACUGCCGCGUGAGUGAUGAAGGCCCUAGCGGUUGUAAAGCUCUUUCACCGGAGAAGAAUAAUGACGGUAUCCAGGAGAAGAACCCCGGCUAACUUCGUGCCAGCAGCCGCGGGUAAUACAAGGGGGGCUAGCGUUGUUCGGAAUUACUGGGCGUAAAAGCGCACG